AAUUUGUCUCUCCAUUUGCCGCUAGGCUGAAGGUUCAAAUUUCUAUUGUUUACAGCAAGUUAUGAUCAAUUACAAGCACACCUUCGUGGCGUGCAUGUCCAGCGUCAUCAGCCACGCAUUCAUAUUCUGUGCUAUUGUCCACCAACCAGAUUUCCAUGUCUUCAGUGCAUACGAAUCUCGCUGUUUUCUUUAUAUGAGAAAUACAGUAGUAAACCGAACCAAAUAGAUCGAGGAACUUUGAAUCCUUUGCUUCUAUAAAACAAAAACUUCUGUGAUUUUGUCUCAAUAAGUGAGAUACGUCAGUUGUACAGAUAAACUUAUAAUAUAAAUAUUAGCUUCCCAAAACUCCAGUGAUACUAUCACAAAUACAUAGCCUACUGACACUUAGGGGGCAUCAUGUCAUAUUUUCUACAACAAUUAGACACUAACACGACCAGCUAAUUUGAAGUAGCAUUGCUUGGAUACAAUACAAAUUUACAUUUGUCAACGCAAUGUUGUUCAUCCACUGGUACGCUCCAGGCAGGGC
rnacentral:lncRNA from 1 species